UGGGGAAUAUUGCGCAAUGGGCGAAAGCCUGACGCAGCAACGCCGCGUGCGGGAUGACGGCCUUCGGGUUGUAAACCGCUUUCAGCAGGGACGAAGUGAAAAUGACGGUACCUGCAGAAGAAGCACCGGCUAACUACGUGCCAGCAGCCGCGGUGAUACGUAGGGUGCGAGCGUUGUCCGGAAUUAUUGGGCGUAAAGAGCUUGUAGGCGGUCUGUUGCGUCGGAAGUGAAAACUCAGGGCUUAACCCUGAGCCUGCUUUCGAUACGGGCAGACUUGAGGGAUGUAGGGGAGAACGGAAUUCCUGGUGGAGCGGUGGAAUGCGCAGAUAUCAGGAGGAACACCAGUGGCGAAGGCGGUUCUCUGGACAUUUCCUGACGCUGAGAAGCGAAAGCGUGGGGAGCAAACAG
rnacentral:rRNA from 1 species